rnacentral:rRNA from 1 species
GGGUUGUGAGGUUAAGCGACUAAGCGUACACGGUGGAUGCCCUGGCAGUCAGAGGCGAUGAAGGACGUGCUAAUCUGCGAAAAGCGUCGGUAAGGUGAUAUGAACCGUUAUAACCGGCGAUGUCCGAAUGGGGAAACCCAGUGCAAUUCGUUGCACUAUCGUUAACUGAAUACAUAGGUUAACGAGGCGAACCGGGGGAACUGAAACAUCUAAGUACCCCGAGGAAAAGAAAUCAACCGAGAUUCCCCCAGUAGCGGCGAGCGAACGGGGAGCAGCCCAGAGUCUGAAUCAGCUUGUGUGUUAGUGGAACGGUCUGGAAAGUCCGACGGUACAGGGUGAUAGUCCCGUACACCAAAAUGCACAGGCUGUGAACUCGAAGAGUAGGGCGGGACACGUGGUAUCCUGUCUGAAUAUGGGGGGACCAUCCUCCAAGGCUAAAUACUCCUGACUGACCGAUAGUGAACCAGUACCGUGAGGGAAAGGCGAAAAGAACCCCGGCGAGGGGAGUGAAAAAGAACCUGAAACCGUGUACGUACAAGCAGUGGGAGCACCUUCGGGUGUGACUGCGUACCUUUUGUAUAAUGGGUCAGCGACUUAUAUUCUGUAGCAAGGUUAACCGUAUAGGGGAGCCGCAGGGAAACCGAGUCUUAACUGGGCGUUAAGUUGCAGGGUAUAGACCCGAAACCCGGUGAUCUAGCCAUGGGCAGGUUGAAGGUUGGGUAACACUAACUGGAGGACCGAACCGACUAAUGUUGAAAAAUUAGCGGAUGACUUGUGGCUGGGGGUGAAAGGCCAAUCAAACCGGGAGAUAGCUGGUUCUCCCCGAAAGCUAUUUAGGUAGCGCCUCGUGAAUUCAUCUUCGGGGGUAGAGCACUGUUUCGGCUAGGGGGUCAUCCCGACUUACCAACCCGAUGCAAACUACGAAUACCGAAGAAUGUUAUCACGGGAGACACACGGCGGGUGCUAACGUCCGUCGUGAAGAGGGAAACAACCCAGACCGCCAGCUAAGGUCCCAAAGUCAUGGUUAAGUGGGAAACGAUGUGGGAAGGCACAGACAGCCAGGAUGUUGGCUUAGAAGCAGCCAUCAUUUAAAGAAAGCGUAAUAGCUCACUGGUCGAGUCGGCCUGCGCGGAAGAUGUAACGGGGCUAAACCAUGCACCGAAGCUGCGGCAGCGACACGAUGUGUUGUUGGGUAGGGGAGCGUUCUGUAAGCCUGCGAAGGUGACCUGUGAGGGUUGCUGGAGGUAUCAGAAGUGCGAAUGCUGACAUAAGUAACGAUAAAGCGGGUGAAAAGCCCGCUCGCCGGAAGACCAAGGGUUCCUGUCCAACGUUAAUCGGGGCAGGGUGAGUCGACCCCUAAGGCGAGGCCGAAAGGCGUAGUCGAUGGGAAACAGGUUAAUAUUCCUGUACUUGGUGUUACUGCGAAGGGGGGACGGAGAAGGCUAUGUUAGCCGGGCGACGGUUGUCCCGGUUUAAGCAUGUAGGCUGGUUAUCCAGGCAAAUCCGGAUAAUCAAGGCUGAGGUGUGAUGACGAGGUACUACGGUGCUGAAGUAACAAAUGCCCUGCUUCCAGGAAAAGCCUCUAAGCAUCAGGUAACAUCAAAUCGUACCCCAAACCGACACAGGUGGUCAGGUAGAGAAUACCAAGGCGCUUGAGAGAACUCGGGUGAAGGAACUAGGCAAAAUGGUGCCGUAACUUCGGGAGAAGGCACGCUGGUGUGUAGGUGAAGUCCCUGCGGAUGGAGCUGAGACCAGUCGAAGAUACCAGCUGGCUGCAACUGUUUAUUAAAAACACAGCACUGUGCAAACACGAAAGUGGACGUAUACGGUGUGACGCCUGCCCGGUGCCGGAAGGUUAAUUGAUGGGGUUAUCCGUAAGGAGAAGCUCUUGAUCGAAGCCCCGGUAAACGGCGGCCGUAACUAUAACGGUCCUAAGGUAGCGAAAUUCCUUGUCGGGUAAGUUCCGACCUGCACGAAUGGCGUAAUGAUGGCCAGGCUGUCUCCACCCGAGACUCAGUGAAAUUGAACUCGCUGUGAAGAUGCAGUGUACCCGCGGCAAGACGGAAAGACCCCGUGAACCUUUACUAUAGCUUGACACUGAACAUUGAGCCUUGAUGUGUAGGAUAGGUGGGAGGCUUUGAAGCGUGGACGCCAGUCUGCGUGGAGCCAACCUUGAAAUACCACCCUUUAAUGUUUGAUGUUCUAACGUGGGCCCCUAAUCGGGGUUGCGGACAGUGUCUGGUGGGUAGUUUGACUGGGGCGGUCUCCUCCCAAAGCGUAACGGAGGAGCACGAAGGUUAGCUAAUCCUGGUCGGACAUCAGGAGGUUAGUGCAAUGGCAUAAGCUAGCUUGACUGCGAGCGUGACGGCGCGAGCAGGUGCGAAAGCAGGUCAUAGUGAUCCGGUGGUUCUGA